UCCAGCACCAGAGUUCAAAGGCCUCCAUUCUUUGGUGCUCAGCCUUCCUUAUGGUCCAACCUUCACAGCCAUACAUACUCUGGAUUACCCCCAAAGAAACUGAAGAACCUUGAUUCUUAGAGUUAUGCUGACAGCAAGAAGGGUAGCGAAUGACGUUAACCAAUAAGUAAAAUAAAAUAAAUUGUAAAAAAUAGUGUGUGCCCACUGCGAAAAUGACGUAGAAGAGGAUGUCACCUCUCUGCUCAUUAAAAGAAGCACAAUAGAGUAAUUUACUCUCCGUAAUAAGCCUGAAGAAAGAUGCAACUAUUUUAAUGAAUCAGUUUAUGAGUGUGCUGUGUUUUAAAGCAAUCCCAAAGUUCUUCUGAUUGGAAUUAGGACUUGAUUUGCCUGCCAGGGUAAAUUAGCUUUGGCUUAAUCAUGGAUUAAUGAAUUAACAAGAUUGGCUGGUUUCACACAGUGUAUUAAGGUCUGAGCCAGUUGUGUAUGUGUGUGUGUGUACUUGCCUUGAUUUUUUUGUAAAAAUAACAAAGGGAUAUAAAUAAGUUAAAUCAAUGGUUUUUACAAACCAUCACGGCUAAAUUUCCCCAAUAUGCUAAGUCAAACCCAAAUAAAGCCCAUUAAGACUA